UACGAAGGGGGCUAGCGUUGCUCGGAAUCACUGGGCGUAAAGCGCACGUAGGCGGAUUCUUAAGUCAGGGGUGAAAUCCUGGAGCUCAACUCCAGAACUGCCUUUGAUACUGGGAAUCUCGAGUCCGGGAGAGGCGAGUGGAACUGCGAGUGUAGAGGUGAAAUUCGUAGAUAUUCGCAAGAACACCAGUGGCGAAGGCGGCUCACUGGCCCGAUACUGACGCUGAGGCACGAAAGCGUGGGGAGCAAACAGG
rnacentral:rRNA from 1 species